rnacentral:rRNA from 1 species
AUACGUAGGGGGCGAGCGUUGUCCGGAAUGACUGGGCGUAAAGGGCGCGUAGGUGGCCUUAUAAGUUUGGAGUGAAAGUCCCGCUUUCAAGGUGGGAAUUGCUUUGAAGACUGUAGGGCUUGAGUGUGGGAGAGGAUAGCGGAAUUCCCGGUGUAGCGGUGAAAUGCGUAGAGAUCGGGAGGAACACCAGUGGCGAAGGCGGCUAUCUGGACCAAGACUGACACUGAGGCGCGAAAGCGUGGGUAGCAAACAGGAUUAGAUACCCUGGUAGUCCACGCCGUAAACGAUGGAUGCUAGGUGUAGGAGGUAUCGACCCCUUCUGUGCCGGAGUCAACACAAUAAGCAUCCCGCCUGGGGAGUACGGCCGCAAGGUUGAA